GAUGAACGCUGGCGGCGUGCCUAAUACAUGCAAGUCGAGCGAACAGACGAGGAGCUUGCUCCUCUGACGUUAGCGGCGGACGGGUGAGUAACACGUGGAUAACCUACCUAUAAGACUGGGAUAACUUCGGGAAACCGGAGCUAAUACCGGAUAAUAUAUUGAACCGCAUGGUUCAAUAGUGAAAGACGGUUUUGCUGUCACUUAUAGAUGGAUCCGCGCCGCAUUAGCUAGUUGGUAAGGUAACGGCUUACCAAGGCAACGAUGCGUAGCCGACCUGAGAGGGUGAUAGGCCACACUGGAACUGAGACACGGUCCAGACUCCUACGGGAGGCAGCAGUAGGGAAUCUUCCGCAAUGGGCGAAAGCCUGACGGAGCAACGCCGCGUGAGUGAUGAAGGUCUUCGGAUCGUAAAACUCUGUUAUUAGGGAAGAACAAAUGUAUAAGUAACUAUGCACGUCUUGACGGUACCUAAUCAGAAAGCCACGGCUAACUACGUG
rnacentral:rRNA from 1 species